rnacentral:pre_miRNA from 1 species
CGAGUACUCCCUCUGUUCUGUUCGGAAUUACUUAUCGCAGAAAUGGAUGUAUCUAAAUAUAUUUUAGUUCUAGAUACAUCUAUAUCCGCGACAAGUAAUUUUGAACGGAGGGAGUAUUAC